UAGAACCAAGAGUUAUUACAGAUAAUUAUAGACUUGAAUAAAUAAAGAAAAGUAAAAUACAUCAGAAAGCUAAACAAUCAGAGCCAAUGAGAGCCUGAUACAGGCUUCUGCCUGAAGCAUGAAGUAAACCAACUCCCAAGAGAUCAGAUUUCCAAAGCCUUUCUCUUAUUUGGGAUGUGUCAAAGUUCCAAGGAGCUUCAAAAACUUCAUGCAAUGCUUACACCCUAAAUAUUAGUGCAGAAUUAGAUUAUAGUGCAGUUGGAAGGGCCAGCUCUCAAAUGUGCAAGUUCAGAGGAAACUCAAAGUCGCAAGGCAAGGCUCAUAGGAAGGGGCAUAACUUAGAGGCUAGGAGUAGGUGUAAGUGCAAUUGAGGGGAAAUUGCAAGCUGGUCAGACCAAGCAAUUUGGGAUGUUGGCACACCCCUAACCAACCCGUCAGCCUUAGAAAUUAGAGAGUUAGGACCUAUUGAAGGUCAGGUUCAGCCCUGGACAACAAUCUAGAUGCUGUUAGGCUAUACCCUAACUCAUCACAUAUAGGUGAGUGGGGUAUGAGGUUACAGAAAGAGACAAGAGCAGGCUGUGGACAUGUCCAGCAAUAGGGAUUGCUAACAUGCCCACAAUCCUAUUACACUAUUUAGAGGCUAGGAUCUAGAAGAUGUGGUUUUAAUCCAUGGACAAUAACUUGUAUAUUGCCAUGUCUUAAACCAAAUCUCGAACACAUAAAAGGGGUAAGGAGUAAGGAUUCAUUGCAGAAACAGAUAGUAAGACAUAAUCAUACUACUUUAGAUGUUGAACUCUACAAAACAGUAAAGUAGACAUGGAUGUAAAGUGUAUAUAAACACAUUGGUGAUGCUAGAAUCAAAAUUCAGACAUACCAAUGUUAGGGAAAUAAAUAAAUGAAAGCAGGAGUCUUGUAAACCAAAUUUGCGAGCAAGCAAUACAAAAGAUCUCAUAGUAGAGAAAAGUAUUGUGUAAGAAUAUGCAAUUCGAAACGUGUGUCUUAUGAAAAAGGGUUGUGUAUCAAUAGUGUGAAAGCCAUGAGAUAAUAAGGUAAGAAAAUAAUAGAAGCAUGAUUGUCAAUCAAUUACACAAGACUCCCUUUAAUUAAGGGGUUCAAAUUCAAACAGGUAAAACAAUUAACAAAAGGUAUUUUAAAAGAAUAUUUUCCCGGUAGUAUAAUAAAGGGUAAGUGCAUAGAAGAUAUUUAAGGAAGCAAACUAAUAGUACACGAUUUUGUAAAAUAAGGAACGGGAAUCAAUCAGUAAAACCAAAAUUACAUGCUUACUCGAAUGAAUCAGGUUGAGAAAAAGGGUAAAGAAAGGUUCACGUAGGGAAAUCAGGAACAAUCAAAUAAACACCAUCAAAGGGAUUCAGAAUCAAUUAGUAGUUGGCAAAACCUCUUGAAAAAAGAGUUCUCUUAUAUAAGGUAAAGAAACAUGUGAAUCAAGAAGAGACAGUCGAGUCAUGUAAUGGAGAGGAGUUCAAAAUCAUAAAGACUAAAAAGUUAUGAGCAAGGAGAUACAAGUUCAAUUUGCAGGCUCAGAGUGAGUCUGAAAGUAAGGUUCCAAAACGGAGCCUUAACGCGAACACAAAGAUUCAAAAUCAUCAGAGGAAACUCCAAAUCUUAGGGUCUCAAAAUUUAAUCAGACAUGGAAGCAAGCCAUUUGCUUCAGAGUCUCAACAAAACAGAUAUGAUAGCAUGUUGAAUAACUAAGGAAGAAGAAUCAUAAGAAAACUCGGAACCUAAACAAGUUCAGAAGAAGAAGAUAAUACAAUGUGAAAACAAGUAGAUGAAGAAUGUAAGAACAUGAACAGAGUCAAGUAAACAAAAAUCAAAUAACUUAACAGUAAACACACAUAGUAAAAGAGUAGAGAGAACAUAGCAAAGAUUAACAGGAGUAACAUGCAACCACAGUAGAAAGAUUUAAAGUACACAUCGGCAAGUACAGAUAAGAACAACAAGAGAAACAUGCUUAGAAGAACCCUAAACAAGGCUCAAUAGAAGGCAGAUAAAGAACCAUAAGAACUUAACAAGAAACGUAGAGCAAAAAACAUAAGAAUUGCCGGGAAAGGUAUAUCAAGAAAGCAUAUAGAAAAAUACAGUAUGAUAAACAUAUAAGAACAUGAUAAAAUACAAUAUAAAAAUCUACAAGACUAUAUCAUAGAAAACAUAGUACAGCAUAGGACAACACAAAGAAGAAAAUUCAUAAAACUCCUGAAUAUUUUCCAGAAAACCCUAAAUCGGCAAAGAAAUGUUUUUUGAAAGUAAUUUUCAAAGAAAUAUUUAGGGAAAUCGUUUGAAAACUCAUGCAUAGCAUAGAUACAUGACGGAUCUAAAAAGAAUCAAAGAAAAACCUCGAAUAGCUAGGGUUUCAGAGGAAUGCAAGGGUGAGAAAGGCUUUGGAAAAGGUCCGACCUAAGUCGGAUAAGGUCAGAAUCAGGCCCAGGAGGCUAGGAUAUGUCGGAGCAAAGCAGAGAUGGCCGGAAACCUCGAAUUGGUAAAUGUCUGAGUGAAGAACUUUGAAGUCUGGCCCCGAAACUUCGAGCAUCAUCCAUGUAGAAGCAGUAUGAGGUGAGUAUAUGGUUUCAUGGCGGCUGGUGGUUGAAAGGGGUGAGGGUGGAGGUGGCCGGAGAGGCGGUGGAGUUCAUCGCAGAAGAGAGAACCAGAAGGUUCUAGAGAGAAGGGAGAGGGAGAGAAGAUAAAGAGAGAGAGAGAAGGUCUCAAAGAAAUGAGAGG
rnacentral:lncRNA from 1 species